CAUUGGAAACUGGGGAACUUGAGUGCAGAAGAGGAGAGUGGAAUUCCACGUGUAGCGGUGAAAUGCGUAGAGAUGUGGAGGAACACCAGUGGCGAAGGCGACUCUCUGGUCUGUAACUGACGCUGAGGAGCGAAAGCGUGGGGAGCGAACAGGAUUAGAUACCCUGGUAGUCCACGCCGUAAACGAUGAGUGCUAAGUGUUAGGGGGUUUCCGCCCCUUAGUGCUGCAGCUAACGCAUUAAGCACUCCGCCUGGGGAGUACGGUCGCAAGACUGAAACUCAAAUAAAUUGACGGG
rnacentral:rRNA from 1 species